rnacentral:rRNA from 1 species
GACAGAGGUGCCGAGCGUUAGGCGGAAUCACUGGGCUUAAAGCGUGUGUAGGCGGAUCGUUAAGUACCUUGUGAAAUCCCACGGCUCAACCGUGGAACGGCUGGGUAUACUGGCGGUCUUGAGCCACCUAGGGGCAGAUGGAACAGACGGUGGAGCGGUGAAAUGCGUAGAUAUCGUCUGGAACGCCAAUGGUGAAAACAGUCUGCUGGGGGUGUGCUGACGCUGAGACACGAAAGCCAGGGGAGCAAACGGG